rnacentral:tmRNA from 1 species
GGGGGCGCAACGGUUUCGACGGGAUUGGACUGUUGUGUGAAGGCGUGUCGGGUUCCGAGCUCCCGUAAAACGAUCGGAAAACAACAACUGCCAAUAAUCAGCAGUUUGCUUACGCUGCUUAAUUAACUGAGUAGCCGCUCCGGCUGGUGAGCCUGCGCGCCAGCCAGUGAGCGUCAUUUUGCAGGAUAGGUACCAGGUUUCGGUCCGGAGCCAUGGGCUGACAUCAAUCGGACUAGGCGACUUUCGCUCUUGCCGGUUUUAUAGGAAGCCGCCGAAUAUACAGAACCGGCUACACACGUAGGCUUUGCAUUGCAGACUUUUUCGGACGCGGGUUCAACUCCCGCCGCCUCCAUAA